UUCUGUUCUAUACUGCGACACAUUUGUGUGAUUGUUUUGUCUCUAAACUGUAUAUUUUCUCUCAGGUCUGGUUGGAUGAAUGGAAACGGCUUCCUGCCUCUUCAUGAGGUCUUUUGAUGUUCUUGCUGGAUGUUGCCGGCCUGCAGAUUUAAAGAGGACAUGCAGAGAGGAGGAGGAGGAGGAGGAGGAGACGGAGACAAAUUAGCUUUUCUCAGCCAAUGUUUUCUUUUCCUUCACAUUCAAGUGGACGGAUGGAGCUCAGCUCUCUCUGCCUUGUUUCCGUCUGUCCCUGUGUGCUCUUUAAGCAGGUAAUAAUUAAAGCCAUCACUGCCGUCCUGGGGAAACAAGCUCCAUUAACGCACAGCGGAGUCAUUUAGACGUGGGACUAAUGGAGCCGUUAGAGCUCAGACUGACUGAUCUCCACCUGUUGAUGAAGAACCGGAGCCAACAUGCAUCGAUUUUUAUUUGGAUUAUUUGCAGCAAAAAUGGCUCAAUAAACGUAUUGUUUCACUAA